GUGGACUUAAUCAUCAUAGGGGAGCGACCCCGUGCUCUGAAUUCGUGUCCUCCUUUCUCUGUAUUUGCCUCCAUGGCGUGCUUCUAAUGGUCUGCUGACUGUGCCGUUUGCUGUUUGAUGUGGAACAGAUGAUAUGAAGCCUUACAAAACCCCCGACGAAGCCUACCGUCUUUUCCUCCUUGGUUUCCAACCUGGAACCCUAGGCCUGGAUUUCGCUCGUCAACUCUUGGACAGUGGAGACCAGGUUGAUUACAUCGAUAUCUCGUGGAAUUCUCGGUUCCCGCAGCAGGUCUUGCGCUAGUUUUGGAGAUUUCGUGCAGAAAUUUUGGUAUCUCGAGCCCAUUUCCUUGAUUGAAUUGUUUCUUCCAAGAUGAACAAUCUUCUCACGGACUCCUUUGAGCUCCCUCGAGGUGAAGCUUCAAGAGAUGGAGAUAUUGAAUUAGGAACCCAGGUUCCAACAAAUUCUGGAGAACUGGAGUUGGAAGGCUUCUUCAAACAGGUUCAAGAGAUCGAGAAGCAAAUUGAGAAGCUAUCAAAACUGCUGAAGAAGCUUCAGGAUGCUAAUGAGGAGUCAAAAGCUGUUACCAAGGCAGCUGCCAUGAAAGCCAUCAAGAAGCGCAUGGAGCAAGACAUUGAUGAAGUUGGGAAAAUUGCACGCCUAGCAAAAUCAAAACUUGAAGAGCUAGACAGAGAGAAUUUAGCCAGCAGACAGAAGCCUGGAUGUGGAAAGGGUUCAGGCGUAGAUCGCUCUAGAACUGCAACUACCAUUGCAGUGAAAAAGAAGUUGAAAGAAAGGAUGUCUGACUUUCAGGCUCUGAGAGAAACAAUUCAGCAGGAAUAUCGGGAGGUUGUUGAGAGAAGGGUUUUUACAGUAACAGGCAAUCAUGCUGAUGAAGAGACAAUUGACCGAUUGAUAGAGACUGGAAACAGUGAGCAAAUUUUUCAGAGAGCAAUUCAGGAGCAAGGACGUGGCCAGGUACUGGACACCGUUGCAGAAAUCCAGGAGCGGCAUGAUGCUGUUAAAGAGAUAGAGAGGAAACUUCUUGAUUUACAGCAGAAUCGAAAAUAUGCGAAGGAUGAAAACCACAAGAAGCUGAAGUUUUAUUCAUUUUGACUGAAUGAUGACUAAAGACCUCAGGGGAUUCCAAGUCUGGCUUGUUCAUUUUAUUCUCUUGCUUGGAAGUUUACAUCAUUAUGGCUUGAUCAAACGCUAUGAUAGAGAGUAUUCAGUAUUGGAUGAAGUGAGAAAUCAUGGAUGAGGAGUCCGUUAGUGAUGAUAUUUAACUGAAGAGUGGAUGGAAGACAAAUCAGCUAUAGUUUUGAAGGACAUUGUAUGCUGAUAUAUCUGUGUGAUCUGUGAGUUCCAUCGCCUCAUCAUGCUUGGAAAGGGAAAAUCUGAAGGGAGAUUUUCCUCGACAUGGCAGUACUGGUUGAGGCACAAGGUGACAUGCUGGAUAACAUUGAAUCCCAGGUUUCAAGUGCUGUUGACCAUGUUCAAUCUGGAACAACUGCUCUACAGAGAGCAAAGAAGCUGCAGAAAAACUCCCGCAAAUGGAUGUGCAUAGCUAUAUUAAUACUUCUCAUAAUUGUCGUCAUUAUAGUUGUAACUGUGAUUAAACCAUGGUCAAAAAACUAGUAGUGUUUCAGGAUUGGACAUGUUGAAUUACGAAGACUUGUAGAUUGUUUUGUUUUAUAUUUCUUGUGUGCAUGUA